GAUGAACGCUGGCGGUGUGACCUAAUACAUAGCAAGUCGAACGGGCUCUUCGGAGCUAGUGGCGGACGGGUGAGUAACACGUUGGUACCUACCCCUAAGUGGGGAAUAACUGCCCGAAAGGGUGGCUAAUACCGCAUAAUCCCGCAAGGGUAAAGCAGUAAUGCGCUUAGGGAGGGGCCUGCGUCUGAUUAGCUAGUUGGUGAGGUAAUUGCUCACCAAGGCGACGAUCAGUAGCNGGAUCGAGAGGUUGACCAGCCACACUGGGACUGAGAUACGGCCCAGACUCCUACGGGAGGCAGCAGUAAGGAAUCUUCCACAAUGGACGAAAGUCU
rnacentral:rRNA from 1 species